rnacentral:rRNA from 1 species
GAUGAACGCUGGCGGCGUGCCUAAUACAUGCAAGUAGAACGCUGAAGGAAGGAGCUUGCUCUUUCCGGAUGAGUUGCGAACGGGUGAGUAACGCGUAGGUAACCUGCCUGGUAGCGGGGGAUAACUAUUGGAAACGAUAGCUAAUACCGCAUAACAGUAGAUGUUGCAUGAUAUCUACUUAAAAGGUGCAAUUGCACCACUACCAGAUGGACCUGCGUUGUAUUAGCUAGUUGGUGAGGUAACGGCUCACCAAGGCGACGAUACAUAGCCGACCUGAGAGGGUGAUCGGCCACCCUGGGACUGAGACACGGCCCAGACUCCUACGGGAGGCAGCAGUAGGGAAUCUUCGGCAAUGGACGGAAGUCUGACCGAGCAACGCCGCGUGAGUGAAGAAGGUUUUCGGAUCGUAAAGCUCUGUUGUAAGAGAAGAACGAGUGUGAGAGUGGAAAGUUCACACUGUGACGGUAUCUUACCAGAAAGGGACGGCUAACUACGUG